AUUGAACGCUGGCGGAAUGCUUUACACAUGCAAGUCGAGCGGCAGCACGGACUUCGGUCUGGUGGCGAGUGGCGAACGGGUGAGUAAUAUAUCGGAACGUGCCCAGUCGUGGGGGAUAACGUAGCGAAAGCUACGCUAAUACCGCAUACGAUCUACGGAUGAAAGCGGGGGAUCGCAAGACCUCGCGCGAUUGGAGCGGCCGAUAUCAGAUUAGGUAGUUGGUGAGGUAAAGGCUCACCAAGCCGACGAUCUGUAGCUGGUCUGAGAGGACGACCAGCCACACGAGGACUGAGACACGGCCCAGACUCCUACGGGAGGCAGCAGUGGGGAAUUUUGGACAAUGGACGCAAGUCUGAUCCAGCCAUUCCGCGUGCAGGACGAAGGCCUUCGGGUUGUAAACUGCUUUUAUACAGAACGAAAAGGUCUCUAUUAAUACUAGGGGCUCAUGACGGUACUGUAAGAAUAAGCACCGGCUAACUACGUGCCAGCCGCCGCCGUAA
rnacentral:rRNA from 1 species